CAAUUGGCUUUUUUAAAAGCCAAAGAAGUAAUUCAAUGGACAAAAAU
rfam:Monodelphis domestica chromosome 2, whole genome shotgun sequence.